rnacentral:rRNA from 1 species
GAUGAACGCUAGCUACAGGCUUAACACAUGCAAGUCGAGGGGCAGCAUUGGAGUAGCAAUACUUCAGAUGGCGACCGGCGCACGGGUGAGUAACACGUAUCCAACCUGCCGCUUACUCGGGGAUAGCCUUUCGAAAGAAAGAUUAAUACCCGAUGGUAUAAAGAGGUCGCAUGUUCUCUUUAUUAAAGAAUUUCGGUAAGCGAUGGGGAUGCGUUCCAUUAGUUAGUUGGCGGGGUAACGGCCCACCAAGUCUACGAUGGAUAGGGGUUCUGAGAGGAAGGUCCCCCACAUUGGAGCUGAGACACGGUCCAAACUCCUACGGGAGGCAGCAGUGAGGAAUAUUGGUCAAUGGACGAGAGUCUGAACCAGCCAAGUAGCGUGAAGGAUGACUGCCCUAUGGGUUGUAAACUUCUUUUAUAAGGGAAUAAAGUGAGGGACGUGUCCCUUUUUGUAUGUACCUUAUGAAUAAGAAUCGGCUAACUCCGUGCCAGCCGCCGCCGUAAAAC